rnacentral:lncRNA from 1 species
GUAGGAAGUAGGAAACGGUCCUUGACCGUAAUGGCAUUCAAAGCGCGGUAAUUGAUAGCUCCAUCCUUGAGCUAUGGUUCAGAUCUAUGAGCUUCCAAGGCAAAGAACAGUAGCAGCGGAUGAAUGGACUGAUGUGAAACUGAAUGUGCAGCUGAUGAAGUUUAGUGUGAUUCGGUGAAAUGGUUGGAAGUGCUUUUGGUGGCAUGGAUCUAGCUCAGAAGGCCUUCACCAUUGGAAGGAAGCUAGAGN